rnacentral:rRNA from 1 species
UACGGAGGGUGCAAGCGUUAUCCGGAUUCACUGGGUUUAAAGGGUGCGUAGGAGGGCAGGUAAGUCCGUGGUGAAAUCUCUGAGCUUAACUCAGAAACUGCCGUGGAUACUACCGGUCUUGAAUAUCGUGGAGGUGAGCGGAAUAUGUCAUGUAGCGGUGAAAUGCUUAGAUAUGACAUAGAACACCAAUUGCGAAGGCAGCUCACUACCCGAAUAUUGACUCUGAGGCACGAAAAGCGUGGGGGAUCAAAACAGG